ACUCAAAUGAAUUGACGGGGGCUCACACAAGCGGUGGAGCAUGUGGCUUAAUUCGAGGCAACGCGAAGAACCUUAUCCUGGACUUGACAUGUACGGAUUAGUUGGUGGAAACAUCAAUGACACUCUUUGAGUGGAACGUGCACAGGUGCUGCAUGGCUGUCGUCAGCUCGUGCUGUGAAGUGUCGGGUUAAGUCCCUUAACGAGCGAAACCCCUGCUGCUAGUUGCUAACAGGUUAUGCUGAGGACUCUAGCGGGACUGCCGGUGUCAAACCGGAGGAAGGUGGGGAUGACGUCAAGUCCUCAUGGCCUUUAUGUCCAGGGCUGCACACGUGCUACAAUGGCGGCUACAAAGCGAAGCGAUAUCGCGAGAUGGAGCAAAUCGCAAAAAGGCCGCCUCAGUUCAGAUUGCAGUCUGCAACUCGACUGCAUGAAGUUGGAAUCGCUAGUAAUCGCGUAUCAGCUACGACGCGGUGAAUAUGUUCCUGAGCCUUGUACACACCGCCCGU
rnacentral:rRNA from 1 species